UAAUAGCGUAUUUUAAAGUUGUUGCAGUUAAAACGCUCGUAGUUGGACCUCGGAGUCCGGGUGUGAUUCGGUCCGCGUCAAAGUGAGUACUGACACAUCGGCUCUACCAAUGAGUGAUCCCCUGGUGCGCUUCACUGGGUGCCAGGAGCUGGGGCGGCGGGGGCGGCAACGUCUUCGUCGUUUCGGGGUUCUCAUUCGUUUACUUUGAAUAAAUUAGAGUGUUCAAAGCAGCCCGCUUGUACGGGCCUGAAUAAUCUAGCAUGGGAUAAUGGAAUAGGCUGUCGGCUUAUUUCGUUGGUUUCUGAGCCAGACAGAAUGAUUAAGAGGGACAGUUGGGGGUUUUCGUAUUCAAUUGUCAGAGGUGAAAUUCUAGGAUUUGUUGAAGACGAACUACUGCGAAAGCAUCAACCAAGGAUGUUUUCAUUAAUCAAGAACGAAAGUUAGGGGAUCGAAGACGAUUAGAUACCAU
rnacentral:rRNA from 1 species